GCCCUCGUAGCUCAGGGGAUAGAGCGUCUGCCUCCGGAGCAGAAGGCCGGUGGUUCGAAUCCACUCGAGGGCA
rnacentral:tRNA from 3 species